GGUCCUAUGGUCAAGCGGUUUACGACUACAGGUUUUGAUCCUGUCAACCCGAGUUCGAAUCUCGGUAGGACCU